UUUUUAAUCCAUAUCCACCUUGUGUGCAAUGUCGGCCGAUCUUUCUUUUUUGGAAGAUCAGCCAAACAUCAACUUAUUUUUUUAACUCUUUGUCUGAAAAAUAUUAUGAAUAAACAAUUCAAAAUACAACUUUCAACAACGGAUCUCUUGGCUCUCGCAUCGAUGAAGAACGCAGCGAAAUGCGAUACGUAAUGUGAAUUGCAGAAUUCAGUGAAUCAUCGAAUCUUUGAACGCAUAUUGCGCUCUUUGGUAUUCCGAAGAGCAUGCUUGUUUGAGUGUCAUUAAAUUAUCAACUCUGUUCUUUUCAGAGCUUGGACUUGGAGUGUGCCGGUCCCCUAACAGGGCUCAGCUCCUCUUGAAAUGCAUAUGCGGAACCUUUGAUUGCGGACCAGCUCCAGCGUGAUAAUUAUCUACGUUGCCGCCGCGAAGCAGUUGGAUCUGCCUAUAAUCGUUGCCUUGCGCAACAGGGACUUAACAGCCCCUAUCUUUGACAAUUUGACCUCAAAUCAGGUAGGAUUACCCGCUGAACUUAAGCAUAUCAAUAA
rnacentral:rRNA from 1 species